rnacentral:rRNA from 1 species
CUGCUGCCUUCCGUAGGAGUCUGGGCCGUGUCUCAGUCCCAGUGUGGGGGGCCUUCCUCUCAGAACCCCUACGCAUCUCGCCACGGUGGGCCGUCACCCCGCCGUCUAGCUAAUGCGCCGCAUGCCCAUCCGCCACCGGAUCGCUCCUUUGGCCACCGGAGGAUGCCCUCCGGUGGCGUCACGGGGUAUUAGGCCGCGUUUCCGCGGGUUAUCCCCCUGUGGCGGCCAGGUUGCAUACGUGUUACUCACCCGUGCGCCGGUCGCCGGG